rnacentral:rRNA from 1 species
ACGCUCGACACCUACGGGAGCAGCAGUGAGGGAUAUUGGUCAAUGGGGGAAACCCUGAACCAGCAACGCCGCGUGAGGGAUGACGGUCUUCGGAUUGUAAACCUCUGUCCUCUGUGAAGAUAAUGACGGUAGCAGAGGAGGAAGCUCCGGCUAACUACGUGCCAGCAGCCGCGGUAAUCUGAGCGGGCUGGCAAGGC